UGGGGAAUAUUGGACAAUGGGGGAAACCCUGAUCCAGCAAUGCCGCGUGAGCGAAGAAGGCCUUAGGGUUGUAAAGCUCUUUCGCCCGCGAAGAUAAUGACGGUAGCGGGAGAAGAAGCCCCGGCUAACUCCGUGCCAGCAGCCGCGGUAAUACGGAGGGGGCUAGCGUUGUUCGGAAUUACUGGGCGUAAAGCGUACGUAGGCGGAUGCGCAAGUUGGGGGUGAAAUCCCGGGGCUUAACCUCGGAAUUGCCCUCAAAACUGCACGUCUUGAGACCGAGAGAGGUAAGGGGAAUUCCUAGUGUAGAGGUGAAAUUCGUAGAUAUUAGGAAGAACACCAGUGGCGAAGGCGCCUUACUGGCUCGGUACUGACGCUGAGGUACGAAAGCGUGGGGAGCAAAC
rnacentral:rRNA from 1 species